ACUCCUACGGGAGGCAGCAGUGGGGAAUCUUGGACAAUGGGCGCAAGCCUGAUCCAGCCAUGCCGCGUGAGUGAUGAAGGCCCUAGGGUCGUAAAGCUCUUUCGCCUGUGAAGAUAAUGACGGUAGCAGGUAAAGAAACCCCGGCUAACUCCGUGCCAGCAGCCGCGGUAAUACGGAGGGGGUUAGCGUUGUUCGGAAUUACUGGGGCGUAAAGCGCGCGUAGGCUGACUAUUAAGUCAGAGGUGAAAUCCCGGGGCUCAACCCCGGAACUGCCUUUGAUACUGGUAGUCUUGAGUUCGAGAGAGGUAAGUGGAAUUCCGAGUGUAGAGGUGAAAUUCGUAGAUAUUCGGAGGAACACCAGUGGCGAAGGCGGCUUACUGGCUCGAUACUGACGCUGAGGUGCGAAAGUGUGGGGAGCAAACAGGAUUAGAUACCCUGGUAGGAUAGCG
rnacentral:rRNA from 1 species